CAGUAGCCGCGGAAUACGAAGGGGGCUAGCGUUGCUCGGAAUGACUGGGCGUAAAGGGCGCGUAGGCGGCGAUCAAAGUCAGGCGUGAAAUUCCUGGGCUCAACCUGGGGGCUGCGCUUGAUACUUGGUUGCUUGAGUGGGGAAGAGGGUCGUGGAAUUCCCAGUGUAGAGGUGAAAUUCGUAGAUAUUGGGAAGAACACCGGUGGCGAAGGCGGCGACCUGGUCCUUGACUGACGCUGAGGCGCGAAAGCGUGGGGAGCAAACAGGAUUAGAUACCCCUGUAGUCCCUGUCUCUUAUACA
rnacentral:rRNA from 1 species